rnacentral:lncRNA from 1 species
GCAGGUAGAUUGAUUGAGAUAGCAGCAGGCUCUGCGGUUGAUUGUGUGUUUGGGAAAUGAUCAGGGUUAUGAUUUUGUUUUUCUGAGUUAUUGUGUUGUCGUAGUUGCUCUUAAUAAGUAUAUGCAAAUCAAAAAAAAUUGGUGAUAUGAAUUUCUAUCUGUGCUUCAAUCUACCCAUAUCAGUUUCUAUAUCUAUCUCUUAUUAUUUAUACUCCUAUAAUUAGUCCCAAUAGUUCAAGUUAUAAAGUUUUGAUCUUUAUGCACAUGCGUGGUACCUCGCUAAUAGAGGUUGUAGCGUAGAUUAG